rnacentral:rRNA from 1 species
GACGAACCGUGCAAACGUUAUUCGGAAUCACUGGGCUUAAAGGGUGCGUAGGCGGGCUCGUUAGUCAGGGGUGAAAUCCCACGGCCCAACCGUGGAAGUGCCUCUGAUACUGCGAGCCUCGAGGGGGAUAGGGGCGUGCGGAACUCAGGGUGGAGCGGUGAAAUGCGUAGAUAUCCUGAGGAACACCGGUGGCGAAAGCGGCGCGCUGGAUCCCUACUGACGCUGAGGCACGGAAAGCCAGGGGAGCAAACGGG